UGAGGAAUUUUGCGCAAUGGGAGCAAUCCUGACGCAGCAACGCCGCGUGGGUGAUGAAGGCCUUCGGGUCGUAAAGCCCUUUCAGGUGGGAAGAAUGUCCCGGGGCUGAACAGGUUUUGGGCGUGACGGUACCACUAGAGGAAGCACCGGCUAACUCCGUCCAAGCAGCCCCGGUAAACCGGAGGGUGCAAGCGUUAUUCGGAUUUACUGGGCGUAAAGCGCGGGUAGGCGGUCCAGCAAGUCUGAUGUGAAAGCCCCGGGCUUAACCCGGGAAGUGCAUUGGGAACUGUGGGACGUGAGGACGGGAGAGGAUUGGUGAAUUCCGUGUGUAGAUGGGAAAUGCGUAGAGAUCGGGAGGAAUAUCAGUGGCGAAGGCGCCCAUCUGGACGGUAACUGACGCUGAGACGCGAAAGCGUGGGGAGCAAACG
rnacentral:rRNA from 1 species